ACAUGCCUACAACAUAGCAUUAAUGCAGUGGAUCCCAUUAGAACUUUGUAGUUAAGCGCGUUCAAGCUAGAUUAGUACUAGGAUGGGUGGCCUCUCGAGAAGUCCUAGUGUUUUACAUGCC
rnacentral:rRNA from 1 species